UCCGCGGUGUGGGACAGACAACACGUCUGAGACUGACGACAGGUCUGAGACUGACGACACUUAAUGCCGGGAUCAGACUACAAGACAAAUUUGCUCUUUCAUGAUUACACUACGCCAGACUACUGCAAUAAAAUCUUGUAUUCCGAUACCACCGCAUCCCGUUUUUUUACGAUGCUUUAUCUUGUCAAAUGCGACCGGAUACACUCGCCACCAUGGCGACGAGAAGAAGAGUGGAUCGCGCCGACUGUAUUAUAAGGUAAAGAGACUGGAUGUUUUUUUUCCCAUGCGUCACCGUCCCUGUUGAUCUGUGACUCCAUGCCCGCCCAUCUCACAGCCGCGGUGAAUGGAUUGUGGAUGCUUGGGCUAAGGUAUCUACUUUGACUGUUGUCCGAGCUUUCGCGAAAGCCGGCAUCAUUGCUGAACAGCCCCCCGGCAACGAGACUGACUCCGAAAAUGAUGAGAGGGAACCUGCGGUGUUUGAUGGAGAACUUGCCGAGCUGUUCAUUUUGAAUAGAGAAUAUGAGGACUUUGAUGGAUUUGUGGAUGAGGAUUGAUUAAAAAAUAACGCUGAGAUGCUGGAUGCUGAGGCACUGCUGUGUGUGGUUGAAACUCCACAACCACUGAGCCUUGACUGACCCUCGCCGGCACUCCCACCGCUGUUCACACCUGAAGUACCAAAGCAAAGAGUUUUCAGUACGAAAUCCAAGAAAAGAACAAGAGAAAAUAUAAUAAUCACAUAGACUCACCGCCCCUCCAGGACACACCAGCCACAGUACGGGUCAUUGGCAGACAGACAAGACUGGCAAUCCAGGUGAUCGCCACAUUCUGCCACAGGACGCUUCUCUACCUGAAGAUAAAAUAUAUCCUAUGAACUAACAUGUAUUCCACUUAUAUUCAUUCAGGGUCACAAAUUUAUAGAGUGGAUCCUGUGAUGUCAAACGGUUUGGUGUUUGAAACCAUGAGUAAAACAAAAUUAAUUUUCAAGGAAAACCCGGGGGGGGAAAGAACUCAUUGUCAACUGUGGUACUAAAAAGUAAGGUUUGGUACAUGUUUUUUUUUUUUUUUUUUUUUUAAACUCACAUUUAAUUUAACUUGCAGUCCCUGUACAACCGGUGUUCGAGUUUGAUCCGCAUUGGAGAUAGGACGUCGGAUUUCCUUUCCAAUGAUGUGGUUCUUUUGUCUUUAUCAAGCCACCAUCUUCAAUUCUCACUAGAACGGUUCACAGCCGAAUGUGAAGCACUUGGGAUGAGAAUCAGCACCUCCAAUCUGAGACCAUGGUACUCAGUGGGAAACGGGUAGAGUGGCUCUCCAGUUUGAGGAUGAGAUCCUGCCCCAAGUGGAGAGGUUCAGGUAUCAAGGGGGCUUGUUCACAAGUGUGAGGGAAGAAUGGAACGGGAGAUUAACAGGCGGAUCAGCGCAGCGUUUGCACUUAGCAGUCAUGCAGACUCUGUAUUGGUCUGUCAUGGCGAAGAAGGAACUGAGCCAAUAGCGAAGCUCUCGCUUUACUGGUCAAUCUAUGUUUCUACCCUCACCUAUGGUCACGAGCUGUGGGUCGUGACCGAAAGAACAAGAUCACGGAUACGAGUGGUCGAAAUUAGUUUCCUCCCCAGGGUGUCUGGGCUUUCCCUUAGAGAUGGGGUGAGAAGCUUGGUCAUCCAGGAGGGAUUCAGAGUAGAGCCGCUGCUCCUUCACAUUGAGAGGAGCCAGAUGAGGUGGUAUAGGCAUCUUGCUAAGAUGGCCCCCGGAGACCUGUGCGGGCAUGUCCCACCAGGAAGGUGAGGAGGCCCGGGAUGAUUUUUUUAUACAUACAUAACGAUUAACUAUGCUUAAAAAAAACAAUUAAAAAAUUACAUGCAAAGCAUUAAAAUGUUUUGGAUCCAAACCUUUUGAUUUGUAUGCCUCAUCAUGCAGUGUGCCUGCCAUCAUCAGUUGUCUAAUUUCCCUCACGGGAUGAAUAAUCAAUCAAUCACUAUCCAGCUAUCUUUCUCAAGUACCUGUCUAUCUAUUUAACGUUCUAUCCAUCCAUCCACCAACAUGCUCCAUCGCAUUAGUUAAAUAAACCUAAAAUAACGUUGGAAAGGGCGGCAUGGUGGACGACUGGUUAUAGCGUCUGCCUCACAGUUCUUGGGACCGGGGUUCAAUCCCCGGCCCUGCCUGUGUGGAGUUUGCCUGUUCUCCCCGUGCCUGGGUGAGAUUUCUCCGGGCACUCCGGUUUCCUCCCACAUCACAAAAACAUGCAUGGUAGGUUAAUUGAAGACUCUAAAUUGCCCGUCGGUGUGAAUGUGAGUGCGAAUGGUUAUUUGUUUAUAUGUGCCUUGCGAUUGGCUGGCAACCAGUUCAGGGUAUACCUUGCCUCCUGCCCGAUGAUAGCGGGGAUAGGCUCCAGCACUCCCGCGACCCUAGUGAGGAUAAGCGGCUCAGAAAUGGAUGGAUAACGUUGUAAAGUUAUUUCUGUUACUUAUUUAAUAACACACCAAUUGGAAUAAUCACCUUUUCAAGAAGGUAUAACUGUGGAUUGAUCAACGCAGCACAACUUGUACAUAACACACCAAAAAAAUGUGCCAAAAUCUGUUGCAAUAUUUUGCUGUUGGUAUUCACUGUUGUUUUGAGUUGCUUGGUGGACUGGAUGACUGCACUCUACUUCAGUAAUAAUAAAAGAAAUAUAGAUAUUGGCCAUGCUUAUACAUCUUUCAAUUUACACUGUCAGGGAUCUCAGCAGCAUGUGGAAGAUCAAUACGCAGUCACAACAGCUUGGCACUUCCUCUGCAUGCUGGUCAAACCUGCCUGGUCACCUGGCUUCCCAUUCUUCAACCAGGAGUUGUUAAAGGUCUGCUAGUAUUGGUUGUGUUGGAUACUCUGGCACAUACAACAGCGCAAGCUGAUAAAUCUGGUCAUAUACUUGUGACCAGCACAAAGCUGGCAGCACUUGAUGAUCAAAACAAGAAUAUUAAGAUGAGAAUAUUGCAGGGGAUUUUGGCACAACAUAAAAUACAAUAUAAACUGGUAUCACUAAAUGGGAUGAAUAAUUAAUGUCCAAACUUUUAAAAAAAAACAAAAAAAAGGUAAUUAUUUGAAAAACUUGAACAUCCAUCCCAUCUAUCCAUAUUCUUUACUGCUUAUUCUCAUUAGGGUCACAAGUGAGCAGGAACCUUUCCUUUUGGCGAGAGGUGGGUACACGCUGGACUUGUCACUAGUCCAUUUUUGUGUCUUCAAUUAACCUAACAUACAUGUUUCUGAAAUGUGGGAUGAAGCCCAUGUACCCAGAUAAGACCCUCACAAGCACGGGGUCAACAGGCUAACCUCCCACAGGAAGGCUGGACUGAACCUCAGCACUGUUAGGCAGACAUGCUAACCACUAGGGCAUCAUGCUGGUGUAAUGGACACGCUCUCGCCAGAUGGCACCAUGACCCCCAAUCUCGGACUGGGACUGCAUCCUUGUCUCCGCUCCACCACUGAGACAGACGGUCACAGGGAUGCCUGGUUUGUCUCACACGGACGCUAAAUGAAUUACCAGCCAGUCUGAAAGAGCUCAUCAAAAGCAGAGACCAGGAAUCCUGACUUGUCACCUGGAGUUUAAAUUAAUUAACAGUUACCCCAGAAAUCUGGGGUCCCAGUCAUCAGAAGACCCCCUGUGUGUGCAGGGCUCAAGAUACUGACCCCAAAAAGAUUGAAAAUCCGCUGGUCCCGCAUGCCAAGAUAAAAUUUUAAAGGACCAUUUGCCCUUUGAAAUGCAACUCAAGACCUCUGGGACAAUUGAUGGAGUCCAGCGAGACCCACUGGCGGUGGAGGGUCACUGCCAACGGACAGCACUCGGGACCAGCGUCACCGAAUUUGAAUGUUGUGUGACAUUUUUAAGAACUUUGCAUACAUGCUCCCAGUCUCCUUUACCAAUGUUUGUCUGUCCUUUGUUUUGCUUUUCAUUCCUCUGUAGAU